rnacentral:rRNA from 1 species
CAGUAGCCGCGGUAAUACGAAGGGGGCUAGCGUUGUUCGGAAUUACUGGGCGUAAAGCGCACGUAGGCGGAUAUUUAAGUCAGGGGUGAAAUCCCGCAGCUCAACUGCGGAACUGCCUUUGAUACUGGGUAUCUUGAGUAUGGAAGAGGUUAGUGGAAUUGCGAGUGUAGAGGUGAAAUUCGUAGAUAUUCGCAGGAACACCAGUGGCGAAGGCGGCUAACUGGUCCAUAACUGACGCUGAGGUGCGAAAGCGUGGGGAGCAAACAGGAUUAGAUACCCGAGUAGUCCCUGUCUCUUAUAC